rnacentral:snRNA from 1 species
CCCCUUACCUGGUGGGGGACAGACCAUAGUCAGGAAGGUGGUUCUCCCUGAACAAGGCUAGUCCACCGCACUCCGGCUGCGCUGACCCCUGCGAUUUCCCCACACGCCGAGUCCUAGUCUGCGGU